rnacentral:rRNA from 1 species
GACGAACGCUGCCGGCGUGCUCAGCACAGGCACGUCGAGCGGGAAGGCCCUGCUUUUUUUUUGUUCUCGAGUGGCGAACGGGUGAUUAACACGUGUGUAACCUGCCCUCUACUUGGGGAUAACUUCCGGGCACUGGCGUCAAUACCUGAUAGGAGCGCCGGCUGCGUGUUGGUGGUUGGAUAGUUUCGGCGGUUGGGGAUGGACUCGCGUCUUAUCAUCUUGGCGGUGUGGUAGUGGCUUACCACGGCUGUGACGGGUAGCCGGCCUGAGAGGGUAACCGGGCACAUUGGGACUGAGAUACGGCCCAGACUCCUCCGGGAGGCAGCAGUGGGGGAUAGUGCAGAACGGGCGGAAGCCUGCAGCAGCAACGCCGCGUGAGGGAUGACGGCCUUCGGGUUGUAACCCGUUUUCGAAGGUGACGGAGCGUGAGUGCCGGCAAUGGGUAAAGGAGGACAGGCUCCCCACCUU